AAAACAUACACACAAAAAGUCAUGUAACAAAGAAUCACAAUAUGGCAUACAGACCAAGCAUAUCAGUAAAACUUUAAGACAAGAUUACACAAAUAUACCAUAGUACAAUAGCAUAUUGACGGAAUGUAUAAGUACAGAGCCACGUCAUAUAUGUAACAAAGAAUAUAAAAAGGCAUAUAGACAAAGCACAUAUCAAAAAUGAAAGACAAGCAACUAACAAGUUUUCGAAGUA
rnacentral:lncRNA from 1 species